rnacentral:rRNA from 1 species
AUGCUGGCUUUACAUAUUCGUAACAACAAGAUCAAACAGAGUUUGUAUAAGUUUUUCUUUAUCACUUUCAGUUUGUCAACUGAACUACUUGAGGACAAGCAAAGGUUUAAGCUUGGGGGAGUUGAUACGUCUCCAAUGUAUCUACUUUUCCAAACACGUUUUCCCUUGUUUUGGACUAUAAGUUGCAUGAUUAGAAUGGAACUAACCCGGACUGACAUUGUUUUCAGCAGAAUUGCCAUGGUGUUAUUUUUGUGCAGAAAUAAAAGUUCUCGGAAUGACCUGAAAAUCCACGGAGACACGUUUUGGAAUUAA